UAGUAACUGCGAGUGAAGCGGCAAAAGCUCAAAUUUGAAAUCGGUGUCCUUCUCGGGCAUCGAGUUGUAAUUUGGAGGGAUAACUUCGGUACGGACUACAUCGUAAGUUCCUUGGAACAGGACGUCAUAGAGGGUGAGAAUCCCGUGUCUUGGUGUUUGGCCGUGCCAUGUGAAGUGUCUCCGACGAGUCGAGUUGUUUGGGAAUGCAGCUCAAAAUGGGUGGUAAAUUUCAUCUAAAGCUAAAUAUUGGCGAGAGACCGAUAGCGCACAAGUAGAGUGAUCGAAAGAUGAAAAGCACUUUGAAAAGAGAGUUAAAAAGUACGUGAAAUUGUUGAAAGGGAAGCGCUUGCGACCAGACUCGAUCUUUGGUGAUCAGCCGGGCUUCGGUCCGGUGCCCUCACCAUUGAUUGGGCCAGCAUCGGUUCUGACGGCGGGACAAAAGGAGGAGGAAUGUGGCUCCCCUCGGGGAGUGUUAUAGCCUUCUUCACAAUGCCGCCAGUUGGGACCGAGGACCGCGCUUCGGCUAGGAUGCUGGCGUAAUGGUCUUAAGCGACCCGUCUUGAAACACGGACCAAGGAGUCUAACAUCUAUGCGAGUGUUCGGGUGGAAAACCCUUGCGCGUAAUGAAAGUGAACGGAGGUGUGAACCCUUUACCGGGUGCAACAUCGACCGGUCCUGAUGUCUUCGGAAGGAUCUGAGUAAGAGCAUAGCUGUUGGGACCCGAAAGAUGGUGAACUAUGCCUGAAUAGGGUGAAGCCAGAGGAAACUCUGGUGGAGGCUCGCAGCGGUUCUGACGUGCAA
rnacentral:rRNA from 1 species